GGGUGCAGGGGCAUCAUUUUGGGCUUCGCCUGCUCUCACACCCUGCUGGGAUUUUCUUUUACCACACCAUCAUGGGUAGUGCCUACCACUGGGAGGCCCGGCGUCGGCAGAUGGCAUUGGAACGGAGGAAGGCGCUGAUGGCACAGCAGCAACAAGAGCAGGAAGCAAUAAAGCAGGAAGAGAAGAAACAGCAUUUUGAGAAAACAUCUCAGCCACAACAGGAUUCAAAAGGACCCCAUCAGGAUUCAAAAGGACCCCAUCAGGAUUCAAAAGGGCCACCACCUGCACAGCCACAGCAACAAGCACAGCCACAGGAGAAGGCACAAGGACAGCCACAGCCGCCUGGGCCAAAGUCACAAAAGGAGCAAGACCCACCUACACAGAGCACCUUCAAGGAUGGUCUCCAGAAGGACACUCAAAGGCAAGGACCCCAGACUAAACCAGUGGGAGCUCAGCAAGAUGGCCAGCAAUCCUGUAAAGUGUGUGACAAACCCCCCAUCCUUCCAGGUCGAGUCAAUUAAUUACAUCCAGCAGUGGUGAUCCAGAGACGGACUCCAAGACCCGAUGAAAGCGAAAAUAAAAACAAAACCCCAAAAUCAAUCAAACAAAAAACCCAAGCACCACCAACCCCCCCCCAAAAAAAAACAAAAAAACACAACAACAAUCCAGACAGCAACCACACUUUCUUUCCACCCAGCAAUCUUUCUAAUCCAAAAGGCCAGUUGCAUUUGGAAAGAAGGCUAGCUGGAAUUAAAAUGUAAUUCCUGGAA
rnacentral:lncRNA from 1 species